rnacentral:rRNA from 1 species
GACGAACGCUGGCGGCGUGCCUAAUACAUGCAAGUAGAACGCUGAAGGAGGAGCUUGCUUCUCUGGAUGAGUUGCGAACGGGUGAGUAACGCGUAGGUAACCUGCCUGGUAGCGGGGGAUAACUAUUGGAAACGAUAGCUAAUACCGCAUAAGAGUAGAUGUUGCAUGACAUUUGCUUAAAAGGUGCAAUUGCAUCACUACCAGAUGGACCUGCGUUGUAUUAGCUAGUUGGUGGGGUAACGGCUCACCAAGGCGACGAUACAUAGCCGACCUGAGAGGGGGAUCGGCCACACUGGGACUGAGACACGGCCCAGACUCCUACGGGAGGCAGCAGUAGGGAAUCUUCGGCAAUGGACGGAAGUCUGACCGAGCAACGCCGCGUGAGUGAAGAAGGUUUUCGGAUCGUAAAGCUCUGUUGUAAGAGAAGAGCGAGUGUGAGAGUGGAAAGUUCACACUGUGACGGUAUCUUACCAGAAAGGGACGGCUAACUACGUG